CCUACGGGAGGCAGCAGUGAGGAAUAUUGGUCAAUGGACGAGAGUCUGAACCAGCCAAGUAGCGUGAAGGAUGACUGCCCUAUGGGUUGUAAACUUCUUUUAUAUGGGAAUAAAAUGUUCCACGUGUGGGAUUUUGUAUGUACCCUAUGAAUAAGGAUCGGCUAACUCCGUGCCAGCAGCCGCGGUAAUACGGAGGAUCCGAGCGUUAUCCGGAUUUAUUGGGUUUAAAGGGCGCGUAGGUGGUUUGUUAAGUCAGUUGUGAAAGUUUGCGGCUCAACCGUAAAAUUGCAGUUGAAACUGGGAGUCUUGAGUACAGUAGAGGUGGGCGGAAUUCGUGGUGUAGCGGUGAAAUGCUUAGAUAUCACGAAGAACUCCGAUUGCGAAGGCAGCUCACUGGACUGCAACUGACACUGAGGCUCGAAAGUGUGGGUAUCAAACAGGAUUAGAUACCCGAGUAGUC
rnacentral:rRNA from 1 species